rnacentral:rRNA from 3 species
AGAUUAAACUGAAGAGUUUGAUCAUGGCUCAGAUUGAACGCUGGCGGCAGGCUUAACACAUGCAAGUCGAGCGGUAACAGAUCUAGCUUGCUAGAUGCUGACGAGCGGCGGACGGGUGAGUAACGCGUAGGAACCUGCCCAGUAGUGGGGGAUAGCCCGGUGAAAACCGGAUUAAUACCGCAUACGCUCUACGGAGGAAAGGGGGCUUCGGCUCUCGCUAUUGGAUGGGCCUGCGUGAGAUUAGCUAGUUGGUGAGGUAAUGGCUCACCAAGGCGACGAUCUCUAGCUGGUCUGAGAGGAUGAU